ACUCAAAUGAAUAGACGGGGGCUCGCACAAGCGGUGGAGCAUGUGGUUUAAUUCGAUGCAACGCGAAGAACCUUACCUACCCUUGACAUCCUGGGAAUCCUGAUGAGAGUUGGGAGUGCCGAAAGGAGCCUAGAGACAGGUGCUGCAUGGCUGUCGUCAGCUCGUGUUGUGAGAUGUUGGGUUAAGUCCCGUAACGAGCGCAACCCUUGUCCUUAGUUGCCAUCAUUAAGUUGGGGACUCUAAGGAGACUGCCGGUGAUGAACCGGAGGAAGGCGGGGACGACGUCAAGUCAUCAUGGCCUUUAUGGGUAGGGCUACACACGUGCUACAAUGGGGCGUACAGAGGGUAGCCAACUCGCGAGAGGGAGCCAAUCUCACAAAGCGCCUCGUAGUCCGGAUUGGAGUCUGCAACUCGACUCCAUGAAGUUGGAAUCGCUAGUAAUCGCGAAUCAGCAACGUCGCGGUGAAUACGUUCUCGGGCCUUGUACACACCGCCCGU
rnacentral:rRNA from 1 species